rnacentral:lncRNA from 1 species
AGUUACAAGUUGCUGGAGGGCAGCUGGUAUUAACUCAUCACCAGGGAGACAGCACAGACAGGCAGGGGCAUGUGGUGCUCACUGGUCCUGUUCCUUCUCAUCCUUCCAGCAACUCCAAGAAAACCAUCUGAACCUACGACAACAGACGCAGCUGCACCUGGGACAGCAGACACAGCUGGGCCUGGGACAAUGGACACAGCUGUACCUAGAAAAGCGGAAACAGCUGUGCCUGGGAAAAGGAACACAGCUGUGCCUGGAACAGCAGACACAGCUUCACCUGGGACAGCAGACACAGCAGAACCUAUGAGAACAACUACUCCAACAGUUCUGGCCUCCUGGCCUUCUCUCACCCAGAGCACCAACAGCACCCAGCCCACGGCUCUUACCAGCCCCCUCACCAGGUGAGCAGAGCUGGGCUCUGGGCUCCCACAGACCUUUCCCUAGGCUGCCCCAUGACUGCUCCUUCAGAUGCUCUCACCAGGGACCCUCAUGUGGCGCUCGUCAGGGGAGAAACAGUGAAGUCUGUAGUGGGCCUU